AAAAUGGAAACGAAGGAGGUAUGUUUUCAAAUACCCAAAUUCACAGACACAUCUUCAUUUUUAAUUGAUUUAUAUUAUGGAGAAAUAGUAGACUUUGAUGACAUUCACAGGAAACGAAUGGAGAAAGAUCUGAUAGAACUUCAGUCGCUGAUUGAAUCACACUUUGAGAAACGCAAGAAGGAGGAAGAGGAGCUCAUCAGUCUCACAGACCGUAUUGAGAAACGCAGGUCAGAAAGAGCUGAGCAGAUGAAGAUCAGGGCAGAGAGGGAAAGGGAACGGCACAACAAACAACAAAAGUACGAGCAUACACAAUUAAAACCUGAACGAACCAGAAUGCUUAGGAAAUGUAUUAUUAAAAUGUUUGAAUCCUCACCUAUGGGGUCACAGAUAUAG
rnacentral:lncRNA from 1 species